CGAUCUUCGGAUUGGUGGCGAGUGGCGCACGGGUGCGUAACGCGUAUGCAACUUACCCUUGACAGGGGGAAUAGCCCGGGGAAAACCCGGGAUUAAUACCCCAUGGUAUUAUUGAAUCGCAUGGUUUAAUAAUUAAAGUUUUAAUGGUCAAGGAAUGGGCAUGCGUCCGAUUAGCUAGUUGGUGAGGUAACGGCUCACCAAGGCGAUGAUCGGUAGGGGGUCUGAGAGGAUGAUCCCCCACACUGGUACUGAGAUACGGACCANACUCCUACGGAAGGCAACAGUAGGGAAUAUUGGGCAAUGGGUGAGAGCCUGACCCANCCAUGCCGCGUGCCGGAAGACGGCCCUACGGGUUGUAAACGGCUUUUAUAUAGGAACAAAAAGGAUCCUGCGAGAUCUACUGAGGGUACUAUAUGAAUAAGCACCGGCU
rnacentral:rRNA from 1 species